CCAGCGAAAGGUGCUUGCACCUUUCAAGUGAGUGGCGAACGGGUGAGUAACACGUGGAUAACCUACCUCAAGGUUGGGGAUAACAUUUGGAAACAGAUGCUAAUACCGAAUAAAACUUAGUAUCGCAUGAUACCAGGUUAAAAGGCGCUACGGCGUCACCUAGAGAUGGAUCCGCGGUGCAUUAGUUAGUUGGUGGGGUAAAGGCUUACCAAGACAAUGAUGCAUAGCCGAGUUGAGAGACUGAUCGGCCACAUUGGGACUGAGGCACGGCCCAAACUCCUACGGGAGGCUGCAGUAGGGAAUCUUCCACAAUGGGCGAAAGCCUGAUGGAGCAACGCCGCGUGUGUGAUGAAGGCUUUCGGGUCGUAAAGCACUGUUGUAUGGGAAGAACAGCUAGAGUAGGGAAUGACUUUAGUUUGACGGUACCAUACCAGAAAGGGACGGCUAAAUACGUGCCAGCAGCCGCGGUAAUACGUAUGUCCCGAGUGUUAUCCGGAUUUAUUGGGCGUAAAGCGAGCGCAGACGGUUAAUUAAGUCUGAUGUGAAAGCCCGGAGCUCAACUCCGGAAAGGCAUUGGAAACUGGUUAACUUGAGUGCAGUAGAGGUAAGUGGAACUCCAUGUGUAGCGGUGGAAUGCGUAGAUAUAUGGAAGAACACCAGCGGCGAAGGCGGCUUACUGGACUGUAACUGACGUUGAGGCUCGAAAGUGUGGGUAGCAAACAGGAUUAGAUACCCUGGUAGUCCACACCGUAAACGAUGAACACUAGGUGUUAGGAGGUUUCCGCCUCUUAGUGCCGAAACUA
rnacentral:rRNA from 1 species